UACGGAGGGUGCAAGCGUUAAUCGGAAUUACUGGGCGUAAAGGGUGCGUAGGUGGUUGAUUAAGUUAUCUGUGAAAUCCCUGGGCUUAACCUGGGCAGGUCAGAUAAGACUGGUUGACUCGAGUAUGGGAGAGGGUAGUGGAAUUUCCGGUGUAGCGGUGAAAUGCGUAGAGAUCGGAAGGAACACCAGUGGCGAAGGCGGCUACCUGGCCCAAUACUGACACUGAGGCACGAAAGCGUGGGGAGCAAACAGG
rnacentral:rRNA from 1 species